CUACCCACCCGGCGCACCGCCGCCGCGGCUGCCGAUCCGCCCAACACCCCGACCUCCCACCCUCCACCCGCCGUCCCGCAACUAUCUGCGCGGAGGCGCCCCAACCCACCCCUUCCGGCGCCGGCCCCGGCCCCGGCCACGACCCUGGCUCCGGUGAAGCGCGCCGCGGUAGACCAGGAUCCCGCACCACAGCCAUCUCCCCCCUCCCCUGGUUUGACCGCGGUGGCCAUCUCCCCCUGCUUCAACCACUGCGCCGCCCCGCCCCUGGGAUACAUCCGCCGCCGUCCCUGGAUCCGCCCGCUGCGAUGACCACGCCGCCACCCCGCUGUCCUCCGGCACCACCAACGUGCCACAUGCGCAUUGGAUCCCCGCCACCGCGCCCACCCAUGCACCGUGAGAUCCCCGCCCCGCCGCGUGGAUGAGAUCCUCCAACCGCCGCCAUGGAGCUCCUCCCCCGCCGCCCAAGCCCCAUCCGCCUCCCCUCCCUGAUACGGUGCAGUUCCCCACCCUACUUCUUCCCCAUCUGAAGGAGCUGAACUUCAUGUGCCCACGGCGUUGGCCGUCCCUUACCCGUUCAAAUACAUUGGGGUUGGAAUUUUUCCUCUCCUCCUCUACUCUGUUCAAGUUCAAGAUCGUUGGGCGCUAUGGCUGCUGGUUCUCUUCAACAGUCUGUUCGACCGGGAGAAUGGGAGAGAGAGGAUGAGCAACAACAGCUGCUCCUGGGUUCUCGCAUGCGGACGCAGUUCUGCUGCUGUUGAUGCACACACUCUCUCUUGCUAGUGGUGCUGCCCCGUGCUAUUGUUCCCUGGUGUUACUGUUGCUUCCACCUUCCUCUCAAUAUUUUGCUACUGGUGCUGCUAGUACAAGCUGACACUUUCUUUUUUUACGUUCCUCUCUCUCUCAUUAUCUGCACAAGAAAAAUAGAUAUGAUUCUGAUUGGAUUUCUGUAGAAAUAUACCCCCUUUUAAUUAUGUUCUAAUUUGAUACACAGAAA